rnacentral:misc_RNA from 1 species
AACCUAGCACACCUGCGGUGUGUACCUGCGGAGGGAUCAUUACUGAGUCACGUGCUCAAACAACCCUUCUGUGGACCUGAAAUAAAACCGUUGCCUCGGCGGGCGGUCCCCCCCAAACCAACCCCACGUGGUGGGUUAGGGGAGACCAGACAGUCCGGUACGCUUAAGGCGUCCGGCGCCAGCCGCUGGCCCCAAACAAUUAAACUCUAGUAAUCUUUACCUUCUGAGUUUCAAUAUUUA